CAUUUUUCUUCAAUUUGUCCUGUCCUUGCAAUUUAUAUGUGUUUCCUUUCUUCCAGGAGAUUAUUAGCAGAAAUUUAUCUGUAGGUUUUUGUAAUUUAAAAUGUUUUGAUAUGCAAUGUUUCUCCAAGAUAGCUUCAGUUUAUUUCAUUUACAACCCUCUUUUCUGCUAUUUACUAUCUCAUUUCCCUUCCUUUCUGACUCUGUUAAAGUAAGCUUUAUUAAGGCAUGAGUUAAAACUCAUACAAAUAUGGUUAUGUAUGAAUCAAUUGAGAAAAGGUGGUUAAUGGAGAUGCCCAGGAUCCUAAUUCCAUGGUUCCUAUAGGUAAUUUGAAUUUUCUUCUUGUCUUUCCCAUAAAAUUUACACUGUUUAUCCAUUUUAUUUUUCAGAAGAACGUCAGCGCAAAUUUGGUACUGUAUCUUAGAUAUCCUUUUAUUCACCAACAGUUUAAAAUGACUGAAUUUCUGAUUUUUUUUAACAUUUCUCAACAUUUUAUCUAUAUCCUCUUUAUUGGCUCACACAUUUCCUGCAUGUGUGCACUUCUAACCUGAAUUUUUAGUUAUGGACUUCCACCAUAGUUUUCUCUCUUCUUUGUCCUCAAAAAAAAUGUAAAUGUUGAUAUCUAUCAAUGUCAAUGGUAAGUUGAAGUUUAUUUUUUCACUGACCUUGAAUUUAUUACCCAGGUUUUCCAGGGUAUAAAAAUGUCUAAUAUAUUUUAAAUAAUUUUUAAAAUUGUCAACAAUAGUAAUUUUACUUUUCAUUUUUAUAUUUAUUGACACAAUUGUCAGUCUGAGAGAUUAUAAUUCCUUUUAAUGAUGUUUUGAAGGGUUCUGUAUCAUAAAGAAUGUUUAGUAACAGUGUGCCUGUCUCUCAAAUUUGAUUUUUUUAAGCAAAUGAUACCAAAACCUAUUGCCUGCAAUGUUUCCUAAAGAUUUUUUCAUAAAACAUGAUAUAUGCAGUAAAAUGUUAUUUUAUUUAUUUUUUUAAUUUUUAUUUGAGUAUGGUUGAUAUUACAGUGUUGUAAAAGUUUCAGGUAUACAGCAAAGUGAAUCAGUUAUGCUUAGGCAGGAAAUUAUUCAGGAAAUAUAUUCAGGAAAUAUAUUCCUGAAUUCUAUUUCAUUUGAAAACAAAAAUAUGACUCAAAAGUUUAUUUUAAAAGAGUAUUAAAAUUUUAAUGAAAUCAAUGAUUUCAUAUAUAACAGCAAUGGCAAAAAUGAGAAUUGGCAAUACAUCUUUAAUAGCAGCCAAUAAACUGAUAAGAGCAACCAUAUUGAAUAAUAAAAGAAAGUAUAAUGUCAAAUGAGGUUAUGAAUAUAUGGAAAAGUGAACCUUCAGAAAUACUGCUCCUAAAAUUUUUUGUCUCUAUUCAGAAAAUACAAUUUUUUUCUGCUUUUUCUUUAUUUUUGUUACUCUUUUCUAUUUUCUUUAUAGAAUACUCUCUGAGUAAGAAGGAGCAGUCCUCAUCUAUUCUUGAAAAACUUCAACACCAAUUUGAAGAACUUCAACACCAAUUUGAUGAUAAUAUGA